rnacentral:tRNA from 1 species
GUGGAAUUGGUAGACACGCGAGAUUUAGGAUCUCGUGCCGCGAGGUGUGAAGGUUCAAGUCCUUUCCGGCCUACCA